GGAUGCAAUAAUGCAUAAGAUGAGAUGCAAUCGUUCUAAGCGUGACCUAACCCCGAUGGUUUAGGAUUAGUGAGUUGUAAUGAUUAGUUUCGGGUGUGUUGCACUUUUAGAGUGAUUCACAAACAAGAUUCUUAUUAAGGUUGAUUACUUGGGAUUAUAAAUAAGCAAUGCAAUAUAUCACAACAAUAAUAUUACAAGCACACAUCAAUAAGAAUUGGUAUAAUCCUAACAUGUAAUGAACAGUUGUUGGUUUUAGCACUCUAUGGCAUGGUUAAUGGUUAAUUAUCAUAUACUUCAAAAGAAUAACUUUUGAAGAACAUACUGCUUAAGAAAUAAGAAGUAUUACAAUUAAGGUUUAUAGGUACUAGGGUUUGCUAUUGGAUCCACUAAGGAAUGAAUAGUUGGCUUCGAGGUAUGAUGGUUCAUAAGUAUCUAACACUAGUAGGGUUUAGUGUGGACGGUAUAUAAUGCAAAAUAUUGGGCCUGGUUGCUAUUAGAGUUCACCAUAAUGGUGUGAUGCUAAAUAAGGAUAAUUAAGGAUGAUGGCCUUGGUAAUAGGAACUAGGUUUACACUUAGUUGAGUUGAACUAGAGGUGAUGGCUAAUGGUUAUUUGGUUUGGUAUCAUUCCCAUAAAUAUAUACUAUGGAAUGACCCCACUAACAAGGUAUGAUAAAUUCAUAGGAUAAGAGUUAACUUUCGACUAAUAAUUGAUUGGUGUAUACAAAUAACACAUCACUCUAGCUAUGACCUUCUACACAAGAUCCAAUCAUAAAGUUCCUACUUAUAAGUAUCGAACAUGGUCAUGCAAAGUAAGUCAAACAAUUUUAUUUGGCUGAAAGAUGUUUAAUAAUAUGACGUAAAGUGUGGUUUGAGUUUGCGUGUUUUUAGAUGUGAAAGCAAGUUCCUAGUAUAGAGUUAUAGCAACUCAUAUCAUAUUUAGGUUUAAGGAAUUAUUUUUAAGGCAUAAGAAUUUUCUAAAGUAUCUUGGAUUUAAUUUACUAAUUUGGGUGAAGGGAAACAUUCCUUACAAAUAUAAUUUGGUACUAGAAUAUAAUUUAAAACUAAUAAGUAUUUAUGUUAGAUUUUAUGGAAUUUCUUAUAUGCUAUUUUUAAUAAAAAUCACAUUCUAAGUUGAGACCAUGUUUAAAUUAUUUGGAAAGUAUUUAUUACAGAUUAAAGUCAAAAUAAUAUUUUAAGCCUUUUAGGAACUCAAUUUAAUAUUAACAUGAAUAAUGUUCCUAAUUCAUAGAAGUUAGGAAACAUCAUGUAUUUAUUUUUUUAAUACUUGUUUGGUAUUUGUGUAGAGAAACUUUUAUAGUUUUAAAUUUAUAACCAAAUAAUGAUACUAGCUUCCACUAAUAUAGGUAUGUUGCAUAUUAUAAUUUGAUUACCUUAGUUAGGACACAUAUACACACUAGUGGAUUAGUUUAUUAGGCUGGAGCUAUUUUGGUUAAUAGUAUUACACAUACAUGAACAUGGCCUGGUCAGCCCCGUACACGUAGAGUCCAACACAACCCAGCAACCCACGACUCGCUCUCUCUCUCUCAUUCACCUUUCUAUCUCUUUCUCCCUCACGAGCACGCAGGCGACCAGGACGCACCCCUCGCACGCACCUGUGAUGUCGCAGCCGCCACCCGCUGCUCCGGCCGUCGUCGGCCAGGUCCGGCGCCGCCGCUCUCCGAUUCGACUUCGCCUCCAUCUCUUCUCCUAUUUUCCCACCGUCUCGAUGCUCGGUCGUGCUCCACGCACGACCCCUGUGAACCCUAGCCCGCCUUGACAGCUGCCGGCCAACUCCGGCACCGGCGAGACAUUUUUCUGGCUCCCCUCAACAUCCUCUACCACUUUGUCCCGCUCGAUUUGAUUUUCCAGCUCUACCUCGUCCGCCCCCAAACCUGGAAACCCUAGCGGUCGCUGCUGCUGUCCGGUGAGGCUUCGCCAUCACCCGCCGCCUCGAUUCCGCCCUACGCGCGCGCCCCCCCAAGCGCCUCCACGCGCGCUCGGCCGAACCCUAGGUUCGCCGGCGUGUUGCUGCAAGCCGCUGCUGCUCCCCAUUGGCGACCCCGCCUCCUCAUCGACCACGAGCCCCAGCUCGAGCUCGCCAUCUCGGUGGUAUCUGGUGGUUUGGUGUGUUGUUCAUGGCGAUGUGCUCUGUUGUUGCGACUACUUCAUCCUCGACGCCGGCUGGACGGUGCCGCGGACGCAACCCCGGCGUCGCCUACCUCGCCACUUCCUGUACGACACUGUGAGCUAAACCUCUCCCAUCUUUGUUCAGGGUUCUACUGUUUGGGCUGCACCAUUACUACUGCUCCAUACUUGUGCUACUGGUGGUAUGUAUGUGUGUAUAGUGGAGCUAAAUAAAUCAUGCCCUGGUAAUUGAUGCAAGUGUUAUGGCUCUCUGUGAGGUGUGGUUUGGGCUGACCAUGCUCUGAAUUAAUUGAUCGCUGCCUUGUGCUAUGUGUGGUGCCUCUCUUUGGAUAACUUGCUGUGAUAAUUUGAUGCCCCAUUUAACUCAUGGUUGAGUUUAAGAAAUGGGAUAAAAGUGCUGUGGCUUAAUGCUC